rnacentral:rRNA from 1 species
AGGGUUCGAUUCUGGCUCAGGAUGAACGCUAGCGACAGGCCUAACACAUGCAAGUCGAGGGGCAGCACAAGGAGUAAUCUGAGGUGGCGACCGGCGCACGGGUGAGUAACACGUAUGCAACCUGGCUGUAAGAGGGGAAUAACCCGGAGAAAUCCGGACUAAUACCGCAUAAUACUUAGAAUCCGCAUGGAUUUUAGUUAACAUUUAUGGCUUACAGAUGGGCAUGCGUAUGAUUAGCUGGUUGGAGAGGUAACGGCUCCCCAAGGCAACGAUCAUUAGGGGUUCUGAGAGGAAGGUCCCCCACACUGGUACUGAGACACGGACCAGACUCCUACGGGAGGCAGCAGUGAGGAAUAUUGGUCAAUGGACGCAAGUCUGAACCAGACCCAAGUCGCGUGAAGGAAGAAUGUCCUAUGGAUUGUAAACUUCUUUUGAAGGGGAAUAAAGUACGGUACGUGUACCGUUUUGUAUGUACCCUUCGAAUAAGGAUCGGCUAACUCCGUGCCAGCCGCUGC